UCAGCUCAAAUGGAGCCUGGGGAACUCAUGUGGAAGAGCCAGUCCCAGGCCAGACUAGAGAAUUUGCUCUCAGCCCUUCAGAACUUGCCCCUCUCCAGCCAGUGUCUACCCAUAUACCCAUACCUACCCGGGGCCUGCAGCCCAAGCCCCAGCCCCAGCCAGAUCCCCCCUCCAUCCCUCAACCCACUACACUAGAUCACAGAGCUGAGCUCCUGGGUAGGCAGGAAGUGAGGGGUGGGGGAAGCCAAGUUGGCAUGGGCUCAUAUUAUCUGUUCUCAGCCCCCUGGACGUGAAGGCAGACAGGCCUGAGACUGAAUCUCAGCUGUAUGACUUCCUGGCUGUGUGACUUCAGUUAACUUGCUGAACUUCUCUGAGUUUCCAUUUUGUAAUCUACAAAAUGAAGAUAAUAACACCUACCUUUCUGGGGUUUUGAGAGCCCUACAUUAAAUAAUGUAUAUGAAAGUAAGCGCCCAAUACAUUUUAGUUAGAUCUAGACGAAUCACAGUUGAAUCUGAAUUAUACCCACCUGGACAGAGCUAUUUAGGUCACCAGAUGUUAAAGUCGAACAGAACCUCAGAGAUACAGCCUUCCCAUUUUACAGACCAAGAAACUGAGAGGCAAAGAAA
rnacentral:lncRNA from 1 species